rnacentral:lncRNA from 1 species
AAAUUUUCUGAAGCAAUUUGUUGUCAAAUGUCAGAUCUAGGGUUCAUUGAUCUUGAGAUAAUUUAUAUAUGCCUUUUGAUCCUGUAUCUAGGGGUGAGUUCGGUUCGGAACCGGUCACAUUUAGGUGAAACCGAAAACCGAACCGUGGAACACGGUUUCUAAUUUUUUUGAACCGAAACCGAACCAUACAAUUUAGGAACCGGCCAUAAACCGAACCGAUUUUCACGGUUCGGUUCGAUUCGGUUCUACGGUUUGGGCUUUUUAAGAUUUUGGGCCUACAACCUUAAUAUAUUGUGGGCUUUCGAACUUUACUUAAUAUUAAAUCCAAAAAAUCCAUUGGGCCAACGUAUAUUAACAUGUUAACUACUAUUUUUGGUUCGGUUCGGUUAACCGAAAAUUUUGUAGAAAGAAACCGUAAACCGAACUGUAAGUACCGGUUCUAUAAUUUUUAAAACCGCAAACCGAACCGACACUUCCAAAAACCGUUGAAAACCGAACCGCAUGUACCGGUUCGGUUCGGUUUCUCGGUUUACCGAUUUUUUUGCUCACCCCUACCUGUAUCUGCUUAUGGUCAUGUAAAGCUAGGCCCGUGGGCAGUCUAAAGAAGCAAAUGAACCCUAGAUCUGACAUUUGACAACAAAUUGCUCCAGAAAAUUUCAGCAAUCUUCAAUCUCCACCAUGGCAAUCACUAAGGUUACCAACACUGUGGGUAUGUAUUAUCUUCUUCUCCUUCGGUCAACAUCUUCUUCUACUUCUUUACUACUCUCUCACUCAUUUCUUCCAUGUUUGCAGCUAAAGAAUCUAGAUUUAACUGCAUCAAAUGUUCCCAUAGGUUUGAUCACAUGUCGGAGGCAAAGCACCAUUGCGUGAAUGCUUGCAAGCGCGAUCAACAAACCUUGAAGAGGAAGGAAAAUGGGAAAAUGGAACGCAAGCAACACCAAGGGAGGAACAACACCAACCUAGAAAUUCAAGGAGGACUGAUGAUGUGUUCUAGAUGGGUUUAGUAACAAUUUCAUAACACUAAAAAAUGUUUAAAGACUAAUGGUUUGUUACUUGGAUUGUGGUUGAUGGGUUUCAUGACUUAAUACUGUUUGAUGAAUGGUUUGUUACUUGGAUUGUGGUUGAUGGGUUUCAUGACUUAAUAUUGUUCGAUGUUCACUAAAUUUAAGUAGGUAAUGGAGUUUUGUUUGGUCUAAUUGAUUUUAAGUAAUUAGUAGUAAUUGGGGUUUGUUUGGUUUAAUUGAUUUUGUUUGAUUAAUCUAGAUUGAUUAGUUAGUUACAGUGUUUAGCAGCAACAUGUUGAAGAUAAUAAACCUUUGAUUCUGGGUAUAUCAGUAAAUCUUCCAUGACCCAUUAGAGAAAAACUAGACCCAAUUCUGAAAUUUCACUAUUGGAUAUUUGGAUGUCAUGAUUUGAUAGAAGAUAGGUAAAAGCUCCAAAUCAAUACUCAGUUUAUUCUAGGCUUGUACUUACCUGAGUGAAUAUUUCUUGUGUAUCAUAGGGAUUUAAAGUCAAAACUAGUUAGAGUUUAAUGAUGGCAAUGAUGAAUGUUGUGUGUUGGUGAUAAUGUGAUCCUAGACAUAUAUUUGUUACUCUAAAAACCUGAAAUUUGUUUUCCUAGACAUAUAUUUGUUACUCUAAAAAAGAACUAAAGUUGGGAGUCUUGAACCAUGAAUUUUGUUUGAUCUCAUUAACAGAUGUGGAUAAUGUGAUCUUGUAUGCCAUUUAGGUCUCUAGGCACUAUACGUGGGUUCAUGUGGCACGUUAUGUUGUUCCAAGUGUACUGUGACAAGGCAGAGUCGGAUAUUCUAUGGCCAGACAUAGAGAUGAGAUCUCUGUUGCAAUUGUUUCUUAAUAAAAUUCCCUACUUGUGUGCCAAAAAAAAUAUUCAAUAAAAGACCCAAGGUUCUCUUUGUUUCUUUCCGAUUUAUUCUAUUCAAUCAACGACGCCAAGGUUCUCUUCCAUUUCCACACCUCUUACAUUAAAGGCUUCCUUUUCAUCUAAUUUUGGAGUUGUGUUUUACCAAAAAUUUGUUUUUAUAAUUUUGUUAUUUCAUUAUUUUGGGUUUGUUUUGGUGUUUUGGUUUGAAGAAGAGAAAGGCAGGGAGAGUGAUUUUGGUUUUCAGCAUAAAAAGUGAUAAAACCCAAAACACGAGUAACAAAACUGUUUAAAUGAAUGUUAAGAUCAGACAUGCUAGAAAAAGUGAGUGAUGGUGAUAGUAUGGUUUGGUAAUAGAGGAUACUGUGAUGAACUAGUAUUGUAAUAAUUUGACCGUUAAUGGCAGCAACUGUGAUAGGUUUGUAUACUAUUUUUACUAUUUGGCUGAUAAUGGUUUGACUAUUACUAUUUUUACUGUUAGAAUGGUAAUGAUUUUUACUCUUCCGGUCAUCAGUUGUUAGGAAAGAUUUAUGUGAUGGAUUUGUAGACUAUUUUUAAUAAUUGGUGGAUUGAUUUGACCAUUACUAUUUUUACUGUUAGAAUGGGAAUGAUUUUUACUCUUAUUCAGUUGUUAGGAAAGCUUAAAGUUCACUGUUUUCGAAAAGCUUCGUAUCACAUCUACAAUUUAAUGGUUGUAAGAACGGAGACAAGCUCAACUAGCUCCAUAGUUGAGAGCAUUAGAACCCAGUUUGAAUCUGUUGAGAAGGACUUUGUUUUCUUCUUUUCAUUUCUUACAACCAGUAACAAUAGCUCUGUUCUUCAAGUUACUACCUUUCUAAGAAAUUCUUCAAAUUGAAAGAUACCCAUUAAGUUUUUCUGCAAACCCAAACUGAUUCAAUGAUCACAGUUAGCUAACAGUAACUAUUUUUCUUCCCUUCUUCUUCCUCCCCUGUUUUUAUUAAGAAAACCCAACUCUCUCUUUUGGGUAUUAAAAUCAGAAGAAGAUGCAGAAAGAAAAGGAGAAGGCUAUAAAAGUAUGGAAAGUGAAAUCAGUGAAGGGUGCCAAUAUCAGCACCUAAGAAAGUCCAUCUUUGAGUUUUACUUUGGUGAGACGAGAGAGAGAGAUUUUGGUUAAAAUUUGGUUCUUGAAAAUGGUCAUCUUUUCAUGAUUUGAAGAAAUUGGGGAUUAGUGUUCUUGAAGAAUUUAUGGUUAUCUUUUAAUGAUAAGAAGAAUUUGGGGAUUAGUUUUUAAUUAAUUUCAAUACCGAUUGCUUGGUUAUUGGGUAUGGUGUCAUUUCUUUCAUAAAUUAGUUGUUUAUAUGAAUCUAUGAAUUGGGAUUAGUUCUUAUUUCAAUACUAAUUGUUUGGUUAUUGCCUUAUUGGCUACCGUGUCAUUUACUGGUUAUUCAUAUAUUGGCACCAGAUACAAUAGUCUUGUAACCCAAACCCAACACACUAGACUGAUUUCCAAUUAAAAAAGCUUGAGAGAGCAGACAUUUGUCCCAAGUCUAAGUGACAACAAGACAAACAAAGCACUCUCUCCUCUUCCUUCCUUCCUUCACUCCCUUCUCUACUCUAAAGAGAGGCUUUUCCUUUUAUGCCUGUGUGUGUGUUUCUAUCUUCAUCGUUUUACUUGUGACUAUAACUAACUAAAGUUCCUUUUUUUUUCUAUAAUAUUUCGUUGAUAAUGAUAUGACCAUUACUAUUUUUACUGUUAGAAUGGCAAUGAUUUUUUAUCUUAAGGUCAUCAGUUGUUCACGUUUGUCUGUUCGGAAAGGUUAAUAUCAAUCUAAAGUUUAGUAUUGAUACUACAACUACAUCAUCAGUAGAUGUGAUACUACUGAGUUGUGUGUAUAAGUUGAAUGUUGCAUUGAUAGAGAAAAACAUGGCUGUUAGAAUGGUAAUAAAUGUUGUUUUCUACAUCUAUGAAAACACAAAUUACCUAUGGGCUUAAUCACUCUUCUCAAAGCCCUAUGGGUUUAAUCACUUCUUAACCUACAGUCUCACUCAGUCUGGAUAAUCUAGCAAAUGUACAGAGCGCAAAAGCUCUGUUCUUCAAGUUACUACCUUUUCUAAGAAAUUCUUCAAAUUGAAAGAUACCCAUUAAUGAUCAUAGUUAGCUACCAGUAACUCUUAGAAAUACUUUUCACUUUGUUUUGAAACUUUUAGAAAUACCCCCAUUUGAAAGUGGAUUUUAGAGAUACCCCAUUAAAAAUAAAAAAAAAAAUCUAGAGAUAGCCCAAUUAAAAAAGUGGUGUUAGUUAAGCCCAUCAUAAAACUAAUCUAUGGGUAUCUCUAAUUCUCUACAGUCUAUACCCUCAAGACGUCAGAAGUCCUCUUCUUUUUCUUUUUAUCUCAUUCUAUUCUAUACGUGUUCAAAUUCUGUUCCAAAGAAUACAUGUGGUAGAAGAUAGAGGGAUAGAGUUACUUUAUUAUCUAAAGAAAUAAAGAUAAUAUAUAUUAAAAAAAAGACAAUGGAUGCAAUGUACUUUAACUUUUGGGGGUAUUUGAAUUUUACAGGCCUAGGUGCAGAUGACAGCAAAAGUAACAAAGUAUUCUUUUAUAAUACCACUAGUUAAAGAAAGAAUCUAACUAACCUGUUGAAAAAGAUAAAAUCUACAUUUUCUACAGUGUACUUUAAUAUACAAAACUUACAGAGUUACAGAAGACAGAAAAUUACAUAAAAAAGAAGAAGAUCUAACCUGUUUUCAUAUUUUUUUCUUUCCACUAAGUCCUUGAUCAUAUUUUGUCCAUCAAGGCAGGCAGGUAUUGAAAGAGUAGUAGUUGAGAUCUGAUAAGAAAAAUAAAUAAAAUUCAGAAUGUUAAUUAAGGCACCAAAGGAAGUAGUUGAGGCUUUAGGAAAAAAAAUCAUGAAAAAAGAUGGAGAAUUACAAAACAACUCACCAAUUCUAUUAGAUCUGCUUCUACUGGAUAAUAUAGAUGACAAUUAUCCCUAUAAUUUUUCUUCAAACAACACUUCCUUAAGAAGAUGUAUAGAAUGAUAGAACCUUAUACUUAAUACGUACAUCCAUGGAAAACUUAUUGACAGAAGCAUAGAAACUUGUACUUGAGUGACCAGAUCCAUGAAAAACUUAUACUAAAAGAAUAGAAACUUGUCGAUGAUAACUAGAUCCAUGAAAACUUAUAACAAAUGCAUGGAAACUUAUACUUGAACCCCUUAUGCAAUUCUAAAACAGCUUUCACUAUUCAACCUGCUCUCAUCGUUUGAAAUACAGAUCUAUUUGCCAAAAACCAUCCUCGUUCUUGCUACGUUCUUUGAUCGUUCACACGCAACAAGCGAACUCCUCUCCUCCUCCUCCUCCUUCUUCUUCUUCUUCUUCCUCUUUGCCUUCUCCUUCCUCUUUGCCUUCUUCUUCUUGACUUUUCAUCGAAUUAUACAUAAUAACUCCACCUCCUAUAACCUCCAAUGGAAUCAAAAGGGUGAUAGGUAUAAGGUAUUGAAUUCUUGUCUCUGAUAUUAGGUUUGAGAGUUUCUCUUUCUUGUUUCUCUCUUUCUUGUUUCUCUCUUUCUCUCACCGUAACCCACCAUUACCUAAUUAGGGUUGUUGGUUUGAUUCAAGUUCACACAAUUCUAUAUACCAAAAGUAGACCUUUUUUGUUGACCAAGUAAGUCCGUUAGAUUUCAUUAUUUACAUAUCUUAACAUAUAUCCUAAGGUUUAAAUCAAAUCGAGAGAAUUGAGGCAGAAGUUAUUUUGGGUCUGGAAUCAUCGUUAUUAUCGAAACUGCCAUCAAGGUUAACACGUGGUUAGUGGGUCAGGCCUGGGAACACUGACACUGAGUUCUGAACUGCUUCCACCAGCUGCCCAUUGGUGCACCAAUAAUUAGAAAGGAUUCUUCCCUGGCCGACAGAUCAAUAAUAUCUACACCCGUGUGUAACGUAUUACUUUGCUUCCAUCAAUUGCAAUUUAACAUCUAGUUUUUCAAAUACGUGGCUUUGUUUAAUUGUAACAAGUUGUGUGAACCCAUGUUAGGCACCGAGAUUGUGUUAUCCGAUAAAAUGGAGAAUCACUCAGGGUUUAAAAAAAAAAAAAAAAAAAAAUUGUCGAGUUGACUCAGAACUCGGUCGAGUUGACUCAAAACUCAACCGAGUUGACUCAAAACUCAACCGAGUUGAUUUGACUCAGCUGAAAAUUGUUCGUACAAAGUUAAAAAUUUUGAAUUUUUUUAUGAUCUAUUUGAUCAGACAGGUAAAUAAAUUUAUCGGUAAAACAGGGGGACAUCAGUGGAAGAAGGAGAAAGAUAGAGGCAGAAGAAGAAAGACACGAAGGAAGGAGUUUUAAGUUCUAUUCUUAAUUUUUGCAAAAUUAUUGUUCUAACUAUGAAAAAAUAUUUCCCAAAAAAUAAAUUUCUCAAUCAAACAGACCCCGAGUUAAGAGAUAUAAUAAUGUGGUUUAAUGUCGUAAUGAAGUAAUUGGAAGAAUUGAAUAGUUUAUCUGUCCUUGUAAAUCAUCAUAAAGUAAUAAUAGCUCUUUAUGUUCGAUAGAACAAUAUAUCUUUUUUUUUCCGAAAAACUACAAGUACAUAUCACCCUCGAUAUUGAUGGAACUAAAUAAUUCCCACAAAUUUCUGAUUUUCUUAUGGUGUAAACUCCCGUUUUCUCAAUCUAAUUCUUUUUUUCUUCUUCUAUUGAUAGAAUUAUAAACGUUUAAAUUACAGUAGGAAAAAAGAAUUCCAUUUAUUUAAUUUGAAGUUUUGAAGUUUGGAAGCAGUCUGAUCAAAAUCAAAUCGUCUAUGUAUGUGCCUGGUACGUAAUUCUUUUUUCUUUUAUCAAUAAAAUAUCUCUCUAUAAAAAAAAUAAUUUCUUGAAGUGGCUUGUUUUACUCUCUUUUUGCUAAUAUGUUUUACUGCAAAUAUAAUAGUAUAAUACUAAUGGAUUGAUAUAGUUCAAAGGAUAGUUUAAUUAUUUUAUUUACUCAAUAUUGAUAUAUUGUUUUCACUAGGUUUUAUUAAAUUACUAUUGUUAACCUUAAUUUGUUGGACACUAAUAUGCAUUUUGCUGAAACUUAAAAAAAAAACUAAUUCUUUAAUUUUACUCAUAAUUGUUCUUUUUCAUUUGUGAUAUUUACUUUUGCAACUAAUUGACAUGUAACCUUUCAUAGCCUGUAUAUUAAUUUUUAAGUUGUUCAUCAGGUGAAUAUGUUAUUGACAUUGUAUAAAAAAAUAAUUAGUAUUUGUUUAUGUGAAUUUAAUGCGAUUAAAACAUUCUUUUAAAAAAAAAAAUUCUUAUUAAUUUUAAGCCCCCUCGUUAUCUAUAAUUCUUGGAUCCGCCGCUGAACAAACCCAUCGGUAGAAACAUGCUCGAGUACAAACAUGUGAUGUAGUUUGAAGGACAAACAUGUUCGAGUACAUCGCAUUACUCACGUUACAAUCAGAUCAUAAACUGAUGCUAGUUAGUCAUGUUAUCCUCACAAGACAUUAACAAAAAUAGUUUCUUUGGAGGCUUUCCUCCGGGGUGGAAGGAAGCCGCCAUCCAUUUUGCCUUGGCUAUCGCCGCUUUCUUCUUUCCAAUUGCCUGCGUGCAUCCGUGCACAAUUCUGCUCCUGUUGGAUCAUUUGAUAAAACACAUAUCUUAACAUAUCUAAGAGCAAUGUCAAUGCACGCUUUUUAGCAAAGGUUUGAACCACUUUUAAGAAAAUGUCCAGCCAAUGCAAGGUUUUAGUUAGGUUUUAGUGUUGUCAUUUUUAACUCUAAAACUGAUAACACUGACAAAGUGUAGGUUAUCCACGAAAAACUAUGGCGGAUAGGAUUAUCCGCCAGAAACUAUGGCGGAUAAGAUUAUCCAGAUAUUGUGGAUAUACCAUAUCCACCAGAAACUGUGGCAGUUAGUUCAAUCCGCCAGAAACUCUGGCGGAUAGGAUUAUCCAGAUAUUGUGGCAGAUACCCUAUCCGCCAGAAAACUGUGGCAAGUAGUUCAUUGAUCUUGAGAUAAUUUAUAUAUGCCUUUUGAUACCCUAUCCGCCAGAAAACUGUGGCAAGUAGUUCAUUGAUCUUGAAGAUUGCUGAAAUUUUCUGGAGCAAUUCGUUGUCAAAUGUCAGAUCUAGGGUUCAUUGAUCUUGAGAUAAUUUAUAUAUGCCUUUUGAUCCUGUAUCUGCUUAUGGUCAUGUAAAGCUGAGCCCGUGGAGAUUGAAGAUUGCUGAAAUUUUCUGGAGCAAUUUGUUGUCAAAUGUCAUAUUUAGGGUUCAUUGAUCUUGAGAUAAUUUAUAUAUGCCUUUUGAUCCUCUAUCUGCUUAUGGUCAUGUAAAGCUGGGCCCGUGGGCAGUCUAAGAAGCAAAUGAACCCCUAGAUCUGACAUUUGACAACAAAUUGCUCCAUAAAAUUUCAGGCAAAUCUUCAAUCUCCACCAUGGCAAUCACUAAGGUUACCAACACUGUGGGUAUGUAUUAUCUUAUUCUCCUUCGGUCAACAUCUUCUUCUACUUCUUUACUACUCUCUCACUCAUUUCUUCCAUGUUUGCAGCUAAAGAACCUAGAUUUAACUGCAUCAAAUGUUCCCAUAGGUUUGAUCACAUGUCGGAGGCAAAGCACCAUUGCGUGAAUGUUUGCAAGCGCAAUCAACAAACCUUGAAGAGGAAGGAAAAUGGGAAAAUGGAACACAAGCAACACCAAGGGAGGAACAACACCAACCUAGUAAUUCAAGGAGGACUGAUGAUGUGUUCUAGAUGGGUUUAGUAACAAUUUCAUAACACUAAAAAAUGUUUAAAGACUAAUGGUUUGUUACUUGGAUUGUGG